AUGUCCAACUUACUGAAAUUCUUUGCUCCAAAAAGAAGUAGAAGAUGGAGCAGAGAACUCCCUCUUGCUCUUUCUGAUUUAAUAAAAGAACUUAUUAAAUAUGCACCUUCAUUCAUCACGGGAUUUGACCAGAGAGAAUCAAAGAUGAGAGAGAUUGUCAGAGAGUUUAGGGAGAUCUCUGAUGAAGUGAGAAAGAUGCAGGAGAAAACAGAGGGAAUCAGAAUAGCAGGAAUUAUUGCUGGAGCAACAGGAGGAGUAGUCUUCACACUGGGGCUCCUUGCAGCUCCGUUCACUGCCGGGGCGAGCUUAGCAGUAGCAGCAGCAGCAGGAGCAGCAGCAGGAACAGCAGCAGCAGUAGGAGCAGCAACAGCAGCAGCAGGAGGAGCAGUAGGAGCAGCAGCAGGAGCAGCAGCAAUAGGAGCAGCAACAGCAGCAGCAGGGGGAGCAGCAGGAGCAGCGGCAGCAGCAGCAGCAAUAGGAGCAGCAACAGCAGCAGCAGGGGGAGCAGCAGGAGCAGCGGCAGCAGCAGCAGGAGCAACAGCUUCAGCAGUAGGAGCAGCAACAGCAGUAGUAGGAGGAGCAGUAGCUGCUGUUGGAGGAGGUGUAGCUGUUGUUUUUGCAAAUGUAACAAAAAGAAUAAAAGUGAUUCAAGGAGUAAAGAAAGUAAAAGAACUGGGGAAACAAUUCAAGGAGACUGAUGAACCGCUGAAGAAAAUCCUGAAAGAAAUCAAGACGACGUGUGAAAAGUUUGAACAAAAGAAAACUGUAUUUCAGGCUGAAAACACUCUGACAGAGGUGGAGGAGUGUCAGAGGAUUCUUACACGAGUGUCUGACCUGGGAAAGAGGAGUAGAAAAGUUUUGAGUUUAGCUUUAACAGUGACAGAGAGGAUAAAUAAUAUGUUACCGUGGUUUGUAUUAGUCUUCUCAGUCUCUGCUACCCCUGAAGAGGAUAGAGAAUUAAGAGAGUCCAUCAUCCAGUCAGGUGAUCAGUAUCAGAAGGUCUUUGAUAACUUUAAUAAGAUGAAGAAGGAGCUGCAAGUCUUCAUAGAAACUACAGAGUGA
rnacentral:lncRNA from 1 species